CUCUCUCUCUCUUUCACUGUGUCGGUUCAGUGUUGCUAAGGUACAGAGAUUAUGUCUGGAAGAACUACAGACAGGUGCUGAUCUCCCCAAUGAGUUACAGGCCACAAAAGAGAACUACAGACAGGUGCUGAUCUCCCCAAGGAGUUACAGGCCACAAAACAGAGCUACAGACAGGUGCUGAUCUCCCCAAGGAGUUACAGGCCACAAAACAGAGCUACAGACAGGUGCUGAUCUCCCCAAGGAGUUACAGGCCACAAAACAGAACUACAGACAGGUGCUGAUCUUCCCAAGGAGUUACAGGCCACAAAACAGAACUACAGACAGGUGCUGAUCUCCCCAAGGAGUUACAGGCCACAAAACAGAGCUACAGACAGGUGCUGAUCUUCCCAAGGAGUUACAGGCCACAAAACAGAACUACAGACAGGUGCUGAUCUUCCCAAGGAGUUACAGGCCACAAAACAGAACUACAGACAGGUGCUGAUCUUCCCAAGGAGUUACAGGCCACAAAACAGAACUACAGACAGGUGCUGAUCUUCCCAAUGAGUUACAGGCCACAAAACAGAGCGAUCAAUUAGAAAAAAAGCCAAAAUAGUAGCUGUCAUUUAGAAAGCAGAUCAAUGUUGAGGGAACCAGUACGUACACACACCAUUUCAUCUUUCAGAUCUCUGUAGUACACAGUCCACCCACAUCUUUCAGAUGUCUGUACACAGUAUAUACUGUAGUACCGUCCCUCAUCUGUGUGUGUGUGUGUGUGUUGGUGAAGUCAGAGGGUGAAUGACAGGCAAUGAGGCAUGGAGGGCUGAGGGCUGAGGGCUGAGGGCUGAGGGCUGAGGCUAGAAAGUUGCAGGUUAAUGAAGAGUCAUACAACACCCUGCAGGCAGGAAGGAAGUAGGAAGGUGAGCUGCUGAUUUUACCUUCCCCUCCAUGCUGCCACUGUGACCACGUUAAAAUAUUUAUAUCCCAGGUCAUUGGUGGGCAACGCCAAGGAAGAGAGAGUGAGGAGAAGAGAGGGAGAAGAGGAGGCCUGCAGGAGAGAGGGAGGAGGAGAGGCCUACAGGAGAGAGGGAGGAGGAGAGGCCUGCAGGAGAGAGGGAGGAGGAGAGAGCUGCAGGAGAGAGGGAGGAGGAGAGAGCUGCAGGAGAGAGGGAGGAGGAGAGGCCUGCAGGAGAGAGGGAGGAGGAGAGGCCUGCAGGAGAGAGGGAGGAGGAGAGGCCUGCAGGAGAGAGGGAGGAGGAGAGGCCUGCAGGAGAGAGGGAGGAG